ensembl:lncRNA
UUUCAUAUGCUCCCUCUCAUUAAUUAAACUUUCAUCACCAGCGAGAACAACCAUCACAGGGAGUGCGGGUCUGCUGUGUGCCAAAGCUCAACUGCUGCUGGGGCCUGGCCAUCUCCCAGGAAGGCAGCAUGGACCCUCACCACGGGUGUCCCGCCUCCAGGAGUGGACAGAGGCUGACCCCCCGAUGCCCCCAAACACUGACCCUCACAGCCCUCCACCUCCUGCUCCUGCAAUAGGCAGGUGAUGUGAAGGUGUCUCAUCAGCUGUCAAGCUACCAGUUCAGAACACACCACGUUGAGGAGAGAAAAUAUUAAUUUACCUGGACUUUUAAUGACUGCGGACUUCUCGGAGCACUGGAGCAGAAAGACUGACCAUCUGUGGGACAUCGCUGGACCCAGGCUCUGCUGUUCUCCAGUGAGUGACCCCGCAUGGGGAACUGCUU